UUUUAUUGGAGAGUUUGAUCCUGGCUCAGGACGAACGCUGGCGGCGUGCCUAAUACAUGCAAGUCGAGCGGACUGAUGGGAGCUUGCUCCCUGAUGUUAGCGGCGGACGGGUGAGUAACACGUGGGCAACCUGCCUGUAAGACUGGGAUAACUCCGGGAAACCGGGGCUAAUACCGGAUAAUUCAUUCCCUCUCAUGAGGGAAUGCUGAAAGACGGUUUCGGCUGUCACUUACAGAUGG
rnacentral:rRNA from 1 species